UACGUAGGGUGCAAGCGUUGUCCGGAAUUAUUGGGCGUAAAGAGCUCGUAGGCGGUCUGUCGCGUCGAAUGUGAAAACCCGGGGCUCAACCCCGGGCCUGCGUUCGAUACGGGCAGACUAGAGUUCGGUAGGGGAGUCUGGAAUUCCUGGUGUAGCGGUGAAAUGCGCAGAUAUCAGGAGGAACACCGGUGGCGAAGGCGGGACUCUGGGCCGAUACUGACGCUGAGGAGCGAAAGCGUGGGGAGCAAACAGG
rnacentral:rRNA from 1 species